UACGUAGGGUGCAAGCGUUGUCCGGAAUUAUUGGGCGUAAAGAGCUCGUAGGCGGUUUGUCGCGUCGGCUGUGAAAACCCGGGGCUCAACCCCGGGCCUGCAGUCGAUACGGGCAAACUAGAGUGCGGUAGGGGAGACUGGAAUUCCUGGUGUAGCGGUGAAAUGCGCAGAUAUCAGGAGGAACACCGGUGGCGAAGGCGGGUCUCUGGGCCGUAACUGACGCUGAGGCACGAAAGCUAGGGGAGCAAACAGG
rnacentral:rRNA from 1 species